UACGUAGGCAGCAAGCGUUGUUCGGAGUUACUGGGCGUAAAGAGUGUGUAGGCGGUCGUCCAAGUUUGGUGUGAAAUCUCCCGGCUUAACUGGGAGGGUGCGCCGAAAACUGGAUAACUGGAGUAUGGGAGAGGAAAGCGGAAUUCCUGGUGUAGCGGUGAAAUGCGUAGAUAUCAGGAGGAACACCUGCGGUGUAGACGGCUUUCUGGACCAUGACUGACGCUGAGACACGAAAGCGUGGGGAGCAAACAGG
rnacentral:rRNA from 1 species